rnacentral:tRNA from 1 species
UUAAAUCCCUCCUGUACUA